AGCUUUGCGCAGUGGCAGUAUCGUAGCCAAUGAGGUUUAUCCGAGGCGCGAUUAUUGCUAAUUGAAAGCCUUGCUCAGAUUUAUUUGAAAUCCACUGUAGUCAUGUGCCCCAUAACAUUUUUGUCAAUGAUGGGCCA